GACGGAAGGUGCAAGCGUUGCUCGGAAUCACUGGGCGUAAAGGGUGCGUAGGCGGCCGUGCAAGUCUGGCGUGAAAGCCCCGGGCUCAGCCCGGGAAGUGCGCUCGAAACUGCGCGGCUCGAGUGCCGGAGGGGAGAGUGGAAUUCCUGGUGUAGCGGUGAAAUGCGUAGAUAUCAAGUGGAACACCAGUGGCGAAGGCGAAUCCCUGGAAAAUACCUGACACUGAGGCACGAAAGCUAGGGGAGCAAACAGG
rnacentral:rRNA from 1 species